GCACCUGGCAAGGUUCACUCUGGGGAGGCCAGGGUGGGAGGCACAGUACUGAAAAGCACCAUUCAAGCAAGUGAGCAUUUAGUGGUUGUGGUAGUAGACUCUGCCUGCUGUGAGCCAGGAAGAGAUGCCCGUGUAAACAGAUACGGCUCUAUCUGAUUGGUGAUAAGGAAAGUUGAUGUAUAUGCAGCAUGGUGACAGAUCAGUCAUUAGGUCGGUAUUUCUUAUGGAAUACUCAUAAUACAUUUAUGAGGUAGACAUAAUUAAAGCCCAUUACAAAUGAGGAAAUGGGCUCAGGAACCUCAUGGAUCUAUGGAAAGCAUUCAAAGCUCCUGGGCUCUCCACUCUUCUGGUGCCACCACACAACUGUCUCACAAAAUCAAAUGUCAGUCUGCUCAGCAAAACUCAAAUUUUCAAGAUUAUGAUGCCAUCCCCCAGAGACCGACCACGGAAGACCCCAUCACUGCCAGCCUAAGAAGAGUAGCUUUCCCAGGGGUAUGGCUGAUGCCAACUACACUCCACCAACCCUAUGCCACUCUCUCCAACAGCGAGCUCUCUGAGGGCCCCAACCACAAGGCCCAGAGAGCCAGCCCCAAACCCCUUUCUGAUUCUUAACAACAGAACAUUCUUUACAAAAAAGUGAGUUUAUUUUUUAAAUUAAAUAAUACACUCGAAGUAUAAAAUUUGCCUAGGCACAAACAAUUUACGG
ensembl:lncRNA